GUCUGUGUGCAUUUAAAUUCUGCUUGGAAUCUGAACCAAUAAGGAGAGUGAUAUCAAUUCCACCAAUAGAAAGCAAAUCCUGAAGAAUGUUUGGGAAUCUCCUUCAGAGCUGCUGAUUCAUUUCUCCCUUGAAACUUAACAUAUGCUGCCGUUGAAACAACGAUUCAGAAAAUGGAUGUUGGAAAUAAUGCAAUUCAUGCUAAGCCCAGAAUGCAAUAAUAAACCAAAGAGAAAAACAUCCUGCGGUCUGUGUGCAUUCAAAUGGAAUUUGGAAUAUGAACCAAUAAGGAGAGUGAUCUCACUUCCAUCAAAGGAAAGCAAAUACCCAGGAAAGCUUUGAGAGCUCCUUCAGAGCUUCUGAAUAAUUUCUUCCUCCAAACUAAACGAGUGAUGCUGCAGAAAAAACAGAAUAGAAAGUGGAUGGCAGGAAAAAGCAUACUUUAUCCUAGGCAUUGAAUACAAUACAAAAAAGAGAAAAACAUCUUUGGGGAGGAGGGGAUACAUUUAGAGAUGCAUCAGGAACCUAAAAGGAGAGAGAUCUAAAACCCUGGAAUGGAAAAAAAUGACGGCAGUUUUUGGAGAACUUCCCCAGAGCUGCUGACUCAUCUAUAUCUCUCCCCUCUACGAUUUUGUCAAAGAAAAGGGGAUAUUGAAUUUGGAAGACUGAAUUAAAUGUAGUUUGCUUGCAUAUUGAUCAAUUUCUGGUUUGAUGUACUUUUUUUUAAAACAAGCUGAUUUCAGAUAAGUUUUUUACCUUUGAAUGUUAAUAUGCCAUUCUAAAAUACCUAGCCAUGUAUACUGAGAAAAGUUUCUGUGACCACACUUCUCUUAUGUCCUGGUAUUGUAGAAUACCAUUAUCCCUCAUUUUGAAAAUUAGUAUUCAUCAACAUAUUGUAGAUUUACAAAUAUUCAAAUGAAAAUAUUACUGGCUGAGCUGAUUCCUUAGUUAUGCACACUGUAACACAAAAGUAAAAUGUAGCUUAGAUAAUGGAACUGGGAGCCCACACCACUAACCACUAUAUAGGUCACAGUGUCCUCCUCC
rnacentral:lncRNA from 1 species